AGUAAGUUGAUGGGGUCCCAGG
rnacentral:miRNA from 3 species